AACUCUCUGAACAGAGAAGCGACCACUUUCUGGAAGCCACAUAGGACUUGGACACUUCCAUCAGCGCUCCACUAUAGUACCUGAAUGAGGCCCACCCUGCUUCACAUGUAAAGAAUCUGAGGCACGGAGAAACAUUACAAGUAGCCUGCCCAAAGUCUCAGAGUAGGUCCUUAGGAGCAGGACCUCCAAGGUAGUCCAGCUCCAGAAUGUGUGCUCCUAAAUAACAUGGUCUCUGGUAAGUCAUCCAAAGCAUAUGCCUAAACUCUGCUGCUUCACAUCUGCAUGCCUUUGUACCACUGGUUUGCCCUUUGGCCUGUACUACUUUUUUCUUAAAGACUCUGGUUAAGGGGAGGAUGCUCC